UUUUACAGAUGAGCAAAGAAAGUGGUUUCUUGAAAUAGAAUCUACUCCUGGUGAAGAUUCUGUGAA
rnacentral:pre_miRNA from 1 species